rnacentral:rRNA from 1 species
AGCAGUGGGGAAUAUUGGACAAUGGGCGCAAGCCUGAUCCAGCCAUACCGCGUGGGUGAAGAAGGCCUUCGGGUUGUAAAGCCCUUUUGUUGGGAAAGAAAUCUUGCCGGUUAAUACCUGGCGAGGAUGACGGUACCCAAAGAAUAAGCACCGGCUAACUUCGUGCCAGCAGCCGCGGUAAUACGAAGGGUGCAAGCGUUACUCGGAAUUACUGGGCGUAAAGCGUGCGUAGGUGGUGGUUUAAGUCUGCUGUGAAAGCCCUGGGCUCAACCUGGGAAUUGCAGUGGAUACUGGGUCACUAGAGUGUGGUAGAGGGAUGCGGAAUUUCCGGUGUAGCAGUGAAAUGCGUAGAGAUCGGAAGGAACAUCCGUGGCGAAGGCGGCAUCCUGGGCCAACACUGACACUGAGGCACGAAAGCGUGGGGAGCAAACAGGAUUAGAUACCCUGGUAGUCCACGCCCUAAACGAUGCGAACUGGAUGUUGGGUGCAACUUGGC